rnacentral:rRNA from 1 species
UACAGAGGAGCCAAGCGUUGUCCGGAUUGACUGGGCGUAAAGCGCACGCAGGCGGCUGCGCGCGUGGGGUGUGAAAUCUGGCCGCUUAACGGCCAGGCGCCAUCCCAUACGGCACAUCUGGAGGGCUGCAGAGGUCGAUGGAAUUGCCGGUGUAGUGGUGAAAUGCGUAGAUAUCUGGAGGAACACCGGUGGCGAAGGCGGCAUCCUGGACCAAUAUUGACGCUGAGGAGCGAAAGCCAGGGGAGCAAACGGG